rnacentral:rRNA from 1 species
GGGACAACCCGCCGAAAGGCGGGCUAAACCCGCGUACAUGCCACCGGGGCAUCCCGGAGGCAGGAAAGGCUUCGGCCGGACAGGGAUGGGCAUGCGGCGCAUUAGGCAGUAGGCGGGGUAACGGCCCACCUAACCGACGAUGCGUAGGGGUUCUGAGAGGAAGGUCCCCCACACUGGUACUGAGACACGGACCAGACUCCUACGGGAGGCAGCAGUGAGGAAUAUUGGUCAAUGGUCGGGAGACUGAACCAGCCAAGCCGCGUGAGGGAUGAAGGUACAGAGUAUCGUAAACCUCUUUUGUCAGGGAACAAAGGCGGGGACGUGUCCCCGGAUGAGUGUACCUGAAGAAAAAGCAUCGGCUAACUCCGUGCCAGCAACCGCGGUAAUACGGAGGAUGCGAGCGUUAUCCGGAUUUAUUGGGUUUAAAGGGUGCGCAGGCGGUCUGUUAAGUCAGCGGUCAAAGCCCGGGGCUCAACCCCGGCCCGCCGUUGAAACUGGCAGUCUCGAGUUGGAGAGAAGUAUGCGGAAUGCGCGGUGUAGCGGUGAAAUGCAUAGAUAUCGCGCAGAACUCCGAUUGCGAAGGCAGCAUGCCGGCUCCACACUGACGCUGAGGCACGAAAGCGUGGGUAUCGAACAGGAUUAGAUACCCUGGUAGUCCACGCAGUAAACGAUGAAUGCUGGCUGUCCG